AAACGGUGGCCUGAUAAGCAAGCAAGAAGAAGAGAAACAUCAGGAAGUGGUUGAAAAAAAAGACAUGUGGUUAUUGUGUUGGUUUUACUUCUGAAAAUGUGAUAAAUGUAAAAAAUAAAUGAAGACAAACUGUGACAGUGACGAUAAAACCAUAAACACAAAGUACUUUAUCAAAGCAUCUGCGAUGAGGUGGCGACUUGUCCAGGGUGUAACCCGCCUUCCGCCCGAAUGCAGCUGAGAUAGACUCCGCCACCCCAAAAGGGACAAGCGGUAAAAAAUGGAUGGAUGGAGUGACGCGCUUACGGCACUUUGGAGGAUGGCAGCCGGCUUAAGUGUGACCCGACAGACGUCCAAGUCCAAUGGAACAUGCUGGCGAGGCGGACUUAGGAGCGGGAUUUGAACUGAAUCCUUGAGAUUUGAUGAGAUCAUACAGAAAGUGGGCAUGAUUUAGGAGAGAACAGACAAUGAUGGAAAAUGUCAACAAGGCUCUUUUCGUGGACACACACACACACACACACACACACACACACACACACACACACACACACACACACUCACACACACACACACACACACACACACACACACACACACACACACGUCUUGUGAUGGAUGUUAGCUCGACGUAGACGAAGCAUCCAGCUAGCCACAAUUGUAUUUUACGGCUCCCCAUUAAAAUGUAUUUUCACACUUUUUUAUUUAUUUGAAACUAUUUUUAUACAUUUUCUUUAAUGAAAUUGAAUUUUAUUUGAUGCAUGUUAUGUAUUUAAACAG